AGAGUUUGAUCCUGGCUCAGGACGAACGCUGGCGGCGCGCCUAACACAUGCAAGUCGAACGAGCGAGAGAGAGCUUGCUUUCUCGAGCGAGUGGCGAACGGGUGAGUAACGCGUGAGGAACCUGCCUCAAAGAGGGGGACAACAGUUGGAAACGACUGCUAAUACCGCAUAAGCCCACAGCUCGGCAUCGAGCAGAGGGAAAAGGAGCAAUCCGCUUUGAGAUGGCCUCGCGUCCGAUUAGCUGGUUGGUGAGGUAAUGGCCCACCAAGGCGACGAUCGGUAGCCGGACUGAGAGGUUGAACGGCCACAUUGGGACUGAGACACGGCCCAGACUCCUACGGGAGGCAGCAGUGGGGAAUAUUGCACAAUGGGGGAAACCCUGAUGCAGCGACGCCGCGUGGAGGAAGAAGGUCUUCGGAUUGUAAACUCCUGUUGUUGAGGAAGAUAAUGACGGUACUCAACAAGGAAGUGACGGCUAACUACGUGCCAGCAGCCGCGGUAAAACGUAGGUCACAAGCGUUGUCCGGAAUUACUGGGUGUAAAGGGAGCGCAGGCGGGAAGACAAGUUGGAAGUGAAAUCUAUGGGCUCAACCCAUAAACUGCUUUCAAAACUGUUUUUCUUGAGUAGUGCAGAGGUAGGCGGAAUUCCCGGUGUAGCGGUGGAAUGCGUAGAUAUCGGGAGGAACACCAGUGGCGAAGGCGGCCUACUGGGCACCGACUGACGCUGAGGCUCGAAAGUGUGGGUAGCAAACAGGAUUAGAUACCCUGGUAGUCCACACCGUAAACGAUGAUUACUAGGUGUUGGAGGAUUGACCCCUUCAGUGCCGCAGUUAACACAAUAAGUAAUCCACCUGGGGAGUACGACCGCAAGGUUGAAACUCAAAGGAAUUGACGGGGGCCCGCACAAGCAGUGGAGUAUGUGGUUUAAUUCGACGCAACGCGAAGAACCUUACCAAGUCUUGACAUCCCUUUACGAUGCUGGAAACAGUAUUUCUCUUCGGAGCAAGGAGACAGGUGGUGCAUGGUUGUCGUCAGCUCGUGUCGUGAGAUGUUGGGUUAAGUCCCGCAACGAGCGCAACCCUUACUGUCAGUUACUACGCAAGAGGACUCUGGCAGGACUGCCGUUGACAAAACGGAGGAAGGUGGGGAUGACGUCAAAUCAUCAUGCCCUUUAUGACUUGGGCUACACACGUACUACAAUGGCGUUAAGCAAAGAGAAGCAAGACCGCGAGGUGGAGCAAAACUCAGAAACAACGUCCCAGUUCGGACUGCAGGCUGCAACUCGCCUGUACGAAGUCGGAAUUGCUAGUAAUCGUGGAUCAGCAUGCCACGGUGAAUACGUUCUCGGGCCUUGUACACACCGCCCGUC
rnacentral:rRNA from 1 species